rnacentral:rRNA from 1 species
AUUGAACGCUGGCGGCAGGCCUAACACAUGCAAGUCGAACGGCAGCACAGGAGAGCUUGCUCUCUGGGUGGCGAGUGGCGGACGGGUGAGGAAUACAUCGGAAUCUACUCUGUCGUGGGGGAUAACGUAGGGAAACUUACGCUAAUACCGCAUACGACCUACGGGUGAAAGCAGGGGAUCUUCGGACCUUGCGCGAUUGAAUGAGCCGAUGUCGGAUUAGCUAGUUGGCGGGGUAAAGGCCCACCAAGGCGACGAUCCGUAGCUGGUCUGAGAGGAUGAUCAGCCACACUGGAACUGAGACACGGUCCAGACUCCUACGGGAGGCAGCAGUGGGGAAUAUUGGACAAUGGGCGCAAGCCUGAUUCAGCCAUACCGCGUGGGUGAAGAAGGCCUUCGGGUUGUAAAGCCCUUUUGUUGGGAAAGAAAUCCAGCUGGCUAAUACCCGGUUGGGAUGACGGUACCCAAAGAAUAAGCACCGGCUAACUUCGUGCCAGCCGCCGCCGUAAAAC